rnacentral:rRNA from 1 species
AACGAACGCUGGCGGCAUGCCUAACACAUGCAAGUCGAACGAGACCUUCGGGUCUAGUGGCGCACGGGUGCGUAACGCGUGGGAACCUGCCCUUAGGUUCGGAAUAACUCCCCGAAAGGGGUGCUAAUACCGGAUAAUGUCUUCGGACCAAAGAUUUAUCGCCUUUGGAUGGGCCCGCGUUGGAUUAGCUAGUUGGUAUGGUAAAAGCCUACCAAGGCGACGAUCCAUAGCUGGUCUGAGAGGAUGAUCAGCCACACUGGGACUGAGACACGGCCCAGACUCCUACGGGAGGCAGCAGUGGGGAAUAUUGGACAAUGGGCGAAAGCCUGAUCCAGCAAUGCCGCGUGAGUGAUGAAGGCCUUAGGGUUGUAAAGCUCUUUUACCCGGGAUGAUAAUGACAGUACCGGGAGAAUAAGCGCCGGCUAACUCCGUG